rnacentral:pre_miRNA from 1 species
UAUAUACUCCCUCCGUUCCGAAUUACUUGUCUUAGAUUUGUCUAGAUACGGAGGUAUCUAGCACUAAAAUAAGUCUAGAUACAUCCGUAUCUAGACAAAUCCAAGACAAGUAAUUCGGAACGGAGGGAGUAUAUG